rnacentral:rRNA from 1 species
AUUGAACGCUGGCGGCAGGCCUAACACAUGCAAGUCGAACGGUAACAGGAAGAAGCUUGCUUCUUUGCUGACGAGUGGCGGACGGGUGAGUAAUGUCUGGGAAACUGCCUGAUGGAGGGGGAUAACUACUGGAAACGGUAGCUAAUACCGCAUAACGUCGCAAGACCAAAGAGGGGGACCUUCGGGCCUCUUGCCAUCGGAUGUGCCCAGAUGGGAUUAGCUAGUAGGUGGGGUAACGGCUCACCUAGGCGACGAUCCCUAGCUGGUCUGAGAGGAUGACCAGCCACACUGGAACUGAGACACGGUCCAGACUCCUACGGGAGGCAGCAGUGGGGAAUAUUGCACAAUGGGCGCAAGCCUGAUGCAGCCAUGCCGCGUGUAUGAAGAAGGCCUUCGGGU